GCCCAGGUAGCUCAGUCGGUAGAGCAGAGGACUGAAAAUCCUCGUGUCGGCAGUUCGAUUCUGUCCCUGGGCAC
rnacentral:tRNA from 1 species